rnacentral:misc_RNA from 1 species
AAAGUCGUAACAAGGUAACCGUAGGUGAACCUGCGGUUGGAUCAUUAUAAAAUAAUGGUUUUCCAAGUUGAGUUUUGAAUCACAAUUUGAUUUAAAAUUCCUUGGAGAAUUCCAAUCAACCCUAUGUGCACUGUAAAUGUUUUUCGAGUACUUGUAAAAAAAGUACUCGACCAUAUUUAAAAACCCCUUUUUUAUAAUUUUGUCUGAAUUUUUUAUUUUAAUAUAAAGAAAAAAAUACAACUUUUGACAACGGAUCUCUUGGCUCUC